AUCCUGAAGACCUGACGUCUAGGCCACGCACAGAGGGCGCUCGUUCCUCACUGUACGCCUAGGGGAAAGUCCCCGGACCUCGGGUAGAGAGUGCCGCGCGCUCCCGCAGCGUGCAAUAAUCCGGCCCCACCACCCGCAUCUCGUCCGCCAAGAAGCUCUCAGAGCCGAGCGGCUCGGGUGAGGGCGGGACUCUUCGUCAGUACCCACAGAAACGCAGGUAGCGCGGCGCCGGCCACGCCAACAGAACGGGGCUCAUUCUCAGAAUGCUCAUUUUAUGUAACAUUUAUUUUCCAGGUUCGGCGGGAGUAAAAGUGGGAAAAAAAAGUAUCCAGAAUGACAGUUUAAACCCUAAUGGGCUGUAACACACACUCCGGUUUUUCCCGGAUGGCAAAAGCCGGGUAGUGUGUUUCAGCACUAAUAGCUGUGAUCUCAGGCUGAGCUCAGGUUGGAGGCCAGGCAGGGGUCAAAUUGAUGAUCACAGUUGUGCAAAGUCCAGGAUCUGGUAAACUCCCGGCCACCUCAUCGAACGUAUGAUCCGGUAUCAGCAAUACACACCCCAGACAGUAACAGUAUCCUGUACUACAAAGAACAAUUUAAAGCAAAAUUAAUUUUUGCCGCAAACCAUACCUAUGGAACCUAUACUGGAGUGCAGGAUACUGGCCCACAAAGUAUUGCUGCACUGGUGCCCUUUCAUGUCUUGUUCCACCACCGGCCAUCUUUAAUCCAGAUAUUUCCCCAAUAAACUGUCACUUACUGUGUG